UUACUUAACUACAACUUUUUUUAUUUUGUGAUGCAGAGCCUCACAAUGACACCAACAGAGUCCCCGAAACUAAAUUCUCCAACACAAAAUUUAACAAAUCCAAAAAGAAAAGUUCUGGAAGAGAUGUUCCGACAGCUUCCAGCAGAUGAUCAGAAAUAUAUGAAAUAUGCCUCAGUAUUCCUUGGACUAAAUGCAACCUUAUAUGGCUUAGCAGCAAACAACUCAUUCAGGCGCCUCCUAAAUAUCUCACAGGCUGGCAUAACAUCUACAUUGUCAAUGACUUUCUUCCCAUUAAUCACAACAACCAUAGGUUACAACUGGCUUCUUGUCCAGCCUUUACUGACCGGCAAUCUAAAUUGCUCAUCCGAUGCUGUAGUCAGAGGAGGAUUAAUCGGGUCUGUUGUAAGUGCUAUGUACCCCAUUGCAUUGGCUGUCUCUUUAAAUAAAAGCAUUGCAGCAAGGACCACUCCCUUGACAGGGAAACAGAAGACAUGGCGCUACUGGUUCGCCCCUUCUGGACCAGUCUUUAAAAAGAUGAGUCUUGCCAUGGUACUACAAGGCAUGACUGGAGCUUACCUUGGUUUCACCCAUCAUAGGACAUAUGAGAAAAUGUUGCAGAUAUGUGAACUUAACAAAGAUCUUAAAGAUUAAAUGUGGCAACUAGACAACCCUCUCAACUGCUUUCAGGGGGAUACCAUAAUAAAACCACUUUUAUUAUGGUUUCGGGAAAGACAUUGAGUUCUUAAGUAUAGUAAUUAUUUCGCCUGUUGACAAGUUGUGAGGAUCAAGCUAUUCUAAGAACGAAGCUGAUAUUCACUGACUUAGGAUCAUUUUCCACUUAGUCUGUUUGUCCAGAGUAUGCCAGUGACGCUCUGCUCCUCUCUUCCCAUGAAAUAUCACGGAACAACAAAAAUACAACUUUCCAUCCU